GGCUCAGGAUGAACGCUGGCGGCGUGCCUAACACAUGCAAGUCGAGCGAUUCUCCUCGGAGAAGAGCGGCGGACGGGUGAGUAACGCGUGGGUAACCUGCCCUGUACACACGGAUAACAUACCGAAAGGUAUGCUAAUACGAGAUAAUAUGCUUUUAUCGCAUGGUAGAAGUAUCAAAGCUCCGGCGGUACAGGAUGGACCCGCGUCUGAUUAGCUAGUUGGUAAGGUAACGGCUUACCAAGGCGACGAUCAGUAGCCGACCUGAGAGGGUGAUCGGCCACAUUGGAACUGAGACACGGUCCAAACUCCUACGGGAGGCAGCAGUGGGGAAUAUUGCACAAUGGGCGAAAGCCUGAUGCAGCAACGCCGCGUGAGCGAUGAAGGCCUUCGGGUCGUAAAGCUCUGUCUUUGGGGAAGAAGUAAGUGACGGUACCCAAGGAGGAAGCCCCGGCUAACUACGUGCCAGCAGCCGCGGUAAUACGUAGGGGGCUAGCGUUGUCCGGAAUCACUGGGCGUAAAGGGUGCGUAGGCGGUAUGCCAAGUCAGGUGUGAAACCCCAUGGCUUAACUGUGGGCUUGCACAUGAAACUGGCAUGCUUGAGUGCAGGGGAGGAAAGCGGAAUUCCUAGUGUAGCGGUGAAAUGCGUAGAUAUUAGGAGGAAUACCAGUAGCGAAGGCGGCUUUCUGGACUGUAACUGACGCUAAGGCACGAAAGCGUGGGGAGCAAACAGGAUUAGAUACCCUGGUAGUCCACGCCGUAAACGAUGGAUACUAGGUGUAGGGAUUUAAAUCUCUGUGCCGGAGUUAACGCAUUAAGUAUCCCGCCUGGG
rnacentral:rRNA from 1 species